rnacentral:lncRNA from 1 species
CAGAAAGAGCUUCCUGUCAUGGGCUGAUUGGCUGGCGGGGCAGAUCUGUAGCUGCGGCUGGGCCAGCCCUGCAGAGGCCGCUGACUGGGACACGAAUGGGGCAAGCUCUGUGGGUGCAGAGGUGGCCUAUGGGGUCUCACCCAGACCAGCGAGAGAGGUUCCACCAGGAGCCUUCAGCCUGGUAAACAGCAGGGCAGGGCUGUGACUCCGAUCUUGCUCUGCCUGGCUCUGAAGACGCCGUGUUCUUUGGUAGCUAUGCAGUGAGGUCACCAUGCUCUAGGAACCAACAUUUGUCCUAUUUGGUGUCACCUCAGUCGUUUGGGUUCAGUCCUCAAAAUAGGACACAAGCAUCCACCGACGGGGUGAAGAGAGGAGAACCUGGUUCUGGGAAGAGGACUGCGGUGAGAUGGAUUGGACUGGGGAGAUGCUAGAGAUGGGGACCUGUUGGGGUUACUGUGUUGUCCAGGUGAGAAGUUAAGAGUGUCCAGAUCCCAGUGGAGAGAAGAGUGGAGGGAGAAGUCCUGAGGCUCUUGCAGAGGAAGGAUGGGACUGGAUAACGGGGAUCACGGGGGAGGAGACAGAAAGACUCCCUGGCCCUGAGCCAGG